rnacentral:rRNA from 1 species
AAGGAUGUGGCAUUUCAUAAACAACCAGGAUGUUGGCUCAGAAGCAGCCACCAUUUAAAGAGUGCGUAAUAGCUCACUGGUCGAGAGACGCUGCGCCGAAAAUGUCCGGGGCUCAAGCACGGAACCGAAGCUAUGGCAUGAUAGCAAUAUCAUGGGUAGGGGAGCGUUCUUAUAAGGAAGAAGCAUGACCGGAAGGACAUGUGGACAAAUAAGAAGUGAGAAUGCCGGUAUGAGUAUCGAAAAGAAAGGUGAGAAUCCUUUCCACCGAAAGCCCGAGGGUUCCUGAGCAACGAUCGUCGACUCAGGGUAAGUCGGGACCUAAGCCGAGGCGGAAAGCGUAGGCGAUGGACAACAGGUUGAAAUUCCUGUACCGGAUCAAGUCGAUUGAGCGAAGGAGCGACGCAGGAGGGCACAUGAUCGCGCGGCUGGAAGAGCGCGUCCAAGUGCGUAUGUUGCAGCAGAGGAAAACCCCUGCGGCUGAAAGCAGAGACAUGAUGGGGAGUUAAAGGAAACUUUGACGAACUCAUGAAUCCCACACUGCCAAGAAAAACUUCUAGCGAGACAAGAUCCGCCCGUACCGUAAACCGACACAGGUAGGCGGGGAGAGAAUCCUAAGGUGCGCGGGAAAACCCUCGUUAAGGAACUCGGCAAAUUGCAUCCGUAACCUAGGGAGAAGGAUGGCCCCCGGUCAGUGAAGAGCAGAAACGCUCAGAGCUAAAAGGGGCGGCAGAAAAGAGGCCCAAGCAACUGUUUACCAAAAACACAGGUGCCUGCGAAAGCGAAAGCUGAAGUAUAGGUGCUGACGCCUGCCCGGUGCCGGAAGGUUAAGGAGAGAAGUUAGCGAAAGCGAAGCAUCGAACUGAAGCCCCGGUGAACGGCGGCCGUAACUAUAACGGUCCUAAGGUAGCGAAAUUCCUUGUCGGGUAAGUUCCGACCCGCAUGAAAGGCGUAAUGAUUUGGGCACUGUCUCAACGAGGGGCCCGGUGAAAUUGAAAUACCUGUGAAGAUGCAGGUUACCCGCGACUGGACAGAAAGACCCCAUGGAGCUUCACUGCAGCUUGAGAUUGAAUCCCGGUGACAGAUGCACAGGAUAGGUGGGAGGCGCCGAAGCAUUGCCCUAGGGCGGUGCGGAGCCGAUGUUGGGAUACCACCCUUCUGUUGCUGAGAUUCUAACGCGAGGAGUAACGACCCUGCGGACCCUCUCAGGCAGGCGGUUUGACUGGGGCGGUCGCCUCCGAAAGAGUAACGGAGGCGCCCAAAGGUUCCCUCAGGCCGGACAGAAACCGGCCGAAGAGUGCAAAGGCAGAAGGGAGCUUGACUGCGAGACCAACAAGUCGAGCAGAGACGAAAGUCGGGCUUAGUGAUCCGGUGGUACUGAGUGGAAAGGCCAUCGCUCAACGGAUAAAAGCUACCCUGGGGAUAACAGGCUAAUCUCUCCCAAGAGUUCAUAUCGACGGGGAGGUUUGGCACCUCGAUGUCGGCUCAUCACAUCCUGGGGCUGGAGUAGGUCCCAAGGGUUGGGCUGUUCGCCCAUUAAAGUGGUACGCGAGCUGGGUUCAAAACGUCGUGAGACAGUUUGGUUCAUAUCCAUCGCGGGCGCAAGAAGUUUGAGAGGAGCUGCUCCUAGUACGAGAGGACCGGAGUGGACGGAUCAACGGUGUCCCAGUUGUCACGCCAGUGGCACGGCUGGAAAGCCGCAUCCGGGAAGGAUAAACGCUGAAAGCAUCUAAGCGUGAAGCCAACCUCAAGAUGAGACUUCUCAUCAGCAAUGAGUAAGACCCCUUACAGACGAUGAGGUAGAUAGGUUAUGAGUGGAAGAGCCGCAAGGCUUGGAGCGACAUAAAACUAAUAGGUCGAGGUCUUAACUUA